rnacentral:rRNA from 1 species
GAAACUGCCUGAUGGAGGGGGAUAACUACUGGAAACGGUAGCUAAUACCGCAUAACGUCGCAAGACCAAAGUGGGGGACCUUCGGGCCUCAUGCCAUCAGAUGUGCCCAGAUGGGAUUAGCUAGUAGGUGGGGUAACGGCUCACCUAGGCGACGAUCCCUAGCUGGUCUGAGAGGAUGACCAGCCACACUGGAACUGAGACACGGUCCAGACUCCUACGGGAGGCAGCAGUGGGGAAUAUUGCACAAUGGGCGCAAGCCUGAUGCAGCCAUGCCGCGUGUGUGAAGAAGGCCUUCGGGUUGUAAAGCACUUUCAGCGGGGAGGAAGGCGAUAAGGUUAAUAACCUCACCGAUUGACGUUACCCGCAGAAGAAGCACCGGCUAACUCCGUGCCAGCAGCCGCGG